rnacentral:rRNA from 1 species
GACGAACGCUGGCGGCGUGCUUAACACAGAAUCAAUGAUUGGGUGGCGGACGGGUGAGUGACGCGUAAAGAACUUGCCUCACCGCUAGGGACAACAUUUGGAAACGAAUGCUAAUACCUAAUACUGUGAGAGAGCUUUGCGGCCCAUUAGCUAGUUGGAGAGGUAACGGGGCAACAAGGCGAUGAGGGGUAGCCGGCCUGAGAGGGUGAUCGGCCACAAGGGGACUGAGACACGGCCCUUACUCCUACGGGAGGCAGCAGUGGGGAAUAUUGGACAAUGGACCAAAGUCUGAUCAAGCAAUUCGGUGCGCACGAUGAAGUUUUCGGAAUGUAAAGUGCUUUCAGUUGGGAAGCGGUACCAACAGAAGAAGGGACGGCUAAAUACGUGCCAGCAGCCGCGGUAAUUC